ACAAAGCUAAGAUAGAAAGACAACAAUUUCUCAUGAAUGCGGAAAAAGGAAUCGGCGAAGAAAAUUUAAUGCAGAUGACUUCGAAAGAUUCUAGGGCAAAAUUACCCAAAUUUGCCAAUAUAAGUAUAGAAAACUGUCGCCGCUGCUCAUUCCGAAACCAUCAAAAUUCUCCACCCACAGCGCCGGCGAUUCAAAAGAAGGAAAACAUAAUUAACAUCAUCCGUGUCACUCAGGAAGGGAAGAGGCCUUCAACCCAUGACCAAUGCAGCAAAAGCGACUGCCGAGAUGCCAACUGCUGAGGGUUCAGAUAAUGGAAAGAUCCUAAAAUUGAAAGAUGGGGAAGCAUUAUGUGUCCUCCAAGAUAUAUUUCAUGGGCGAACUGCAAAGCAUGGAAGAUCAUGUCCGGUUGUCCUGUUUCGUGUACGCCUGCUAUCAAUAAUUAAAGAGGAAGAAGGAGAGAAGUGUGUGAAGCCGCAUCCGAGAUCGUGGUUCAGUGUGCUAAAGAAAUGCUUUGCUGAAUCUGAACGUGUUCUUAAAAUGUUGGGGAUGCGUUAUUUAGAGAAGGCUGCCGCCUAUGAUGCUUUAAAUGCUUCAGAAAUGCUUAGGGUCUUAAAUCUGCUAUGCAUUCAUGCUCUUGGCACAAAAAAGCUAAGACAUUGGAUAAAACACCAAAAAACACAAUUUGACCAGAAGGCAGAAGAAGCUAUACAUAAGGUUUUCGAAGCAAGAGGCGAGAAAAUAAAAGAGGACACUGCCAAAGCUAUUUAUGCUAGGGAUGGGGAGCUGGAAGCAAUUGUUUCUCUUAAUAGAUCUACUGCAGAGCAAGCUCAUGGAAAGCUGCUUGAGUCAGAGGCAAUGCUUUUGAAGAUUCAUCAGACAGCUGAUACUACAAGAGUAGAGCCCACUAUUGUGCUGAUGAAUCUGAUGUACGGCAUCAAGAUAGAAAGACAACCAUUUCUUUUGAAGGCGGGAAAAGGAAUCGGCAAAGAAAAUUAAAUGCAGAUGACUUCAAAAGAUUCUAGGGCAAAAUUUCCCAAUUCUGCCAAUAUAAAUAUUGAGAACUGUCGCCGCUGCACAUUACGAAACCAUCAAAACCACAGCGCCGGCAAGUUCAGAUUUCAGAAGAAGGAAAACAGAAUGAAGGAAAAUUUCCGGUCCUGGAUAUCUGAAUACUACACAGAAAUGGCGGUUGAAGCAUCCCUAAGUAAUUCUGUGGCGUCUCCAUCGGCAAAGAACGUUAAAUCAACCAGAAAAUCGGCUGCCGGUAGCCAAGUUAGUAAUUCUGGUGACGGAGUAUAUUGCCAUCAGUGUCGUCAAAAAACCAGGGCUCCCGCAGCAGCAUGCAAGAAUCUUACGAAGAAGAAACCCUGUUCAGUAAAGAUGUGUUGCAGAUGCCUAUGGAACAGGUACGGUGAAAAGGUGGAGGAAGUAGCUAAGUUGGAGGAUUGGAAGUGCCCGAAAUGCAGGGGCAUUUGCAACUGCAGUGUGUGCAUGAAGAGAAGGGGCCUUCAACCCUUGGGUGUACUUACCAGGGCAGCAAAAGCGACUGGAAAGGAUGUAUUAUCUGGUAGAAAGAAAGGAAGAAAGGGAAGGAAAGUUUGGAUGUAGAUGAUAAUACCUCUUCGAAGAGAAUGAAACUAGCCAAACAUUCAAAUUGUGUUGACUUGAUAAUUUUUGUAAUAUUUAUACUACUUUUUAUUGUUAAA